rnacentral:lncRNA from 1 species
UCGACAAAGAAGCUCCCGAGACGGUGUACAUGGCGCCUUGGAAGCCCACGCCCUCAGCGGAGGCCAACACAGACUCCACCAAGUACCGAGGGCUCCACGAGCCACCAAAGCGACGCCCUCAAGAGGGGAAUGACACAGACGCGUCGCCAUCACCCGAUCCGAAUGCCGGACCUAAUUUCCCCUGGUGCUCGGGGCGGGGAAGCACGGGUAGCACGAUGACGACGCCUCCAAGGAGGUGACGGCGCCCGCAGGCGUCGCCGUCGUCCGCUUCACGCAGGGAUUUCGCCCCGGCCAUGCCGUCGACCCCAACGC